rnacentral:lncRNA from 1 species
UCAGUUGUGGAUUCGUCCCUGCAGAGAGAGUUUGAGCCAGAGAGGGAGUCACUUCGCUGCAUGUCCUUGAGCUUCUGCAGACUCCUUUGUGACUGCACGGUCUCGGGGUCACUAUUCAACAGCAAACGCAAGGAUAGAAAACAGGCCACGCCCCGGCAAGCGGCUGGUCACACUGCCGGUCUGCUGCUGGAACACAUCGAUGGUGUCCUCGUCGUCCAUCUCCAGCUGCGCAGGAAAGCUGGAGGUCUUAGGAAAAUAAUCAAGCAUAUAUGGAUGUAAGAUAUGCUCCAUUUUGUAAGUAAGCACAUUCUUUUUUUUUCUUAACUUUUAUUUAAUGAAUAUAAAUUUCCAAAGUACAGCUUAUGGAUUACAAUGGCUUCCCCCCAUAACGUCCCUCCCACCCGCAACCCUCCCCUUUCCCACUCCCUCUCCCCUUCCAUUCACAUCAUGAUUCAUUUUCGAUUCUCUUUAUAUACAGAAGAUCAGUUUAGCAUACAUUAAGUAAAGAUUUCAACAGUUUGCUCCCACACAGAAACAUAAAGUGAAAAAUACUGUUUGAGUACUAGUUAUAGCAUUAAAUCUCAAUGUACAGCACACUAAGGACAAAGAUCCUACAUGAGGAGUAAGUGCACAGUGACUCCUGUUGUUGACUUAACAAAUUGACACUCUUGUUUAUAGCAUCAGUAAUCAACCUAGGCUCUUGUCAUGAGCUGCCAAAGCUAUGGAAGCCCCCUGAGUUCACUGACUCUGAUAAUUUUUAGACAAGGUCAUGGUCAAAGUGGAAGUUCUCUCCUCCCGUCAGAGAAAGGUACCUCCUUCUUUGAUGACUUGUUCUUUCCACUGGGAUCUCACUCGCGGAGAUCUUUCAUUUAGGUGUUUUUUUUUUUUUUUCCAGAGUGUCUUGGCUUUCCAUGCCUGAAAUAGUCUCAUGGGCUUUUUAGCCGGAUCCGCAUGCCUUAAGGGCUGAUUCUGAGGCCAGAGUGCUGUUUAGGAUAUCUGCCAUUCUAUGGGUCUGCUGUGUAUCUCACUUCCCAUGUUGGAUCAUUCUCUCCCUUUUUGAUUCUAUCAGCUAGUAUUUGCAGACACUAGUCUUGUUUAUGUGAUCCCUUUGGUUCUUAGUCCUAUCAUUAUGAUCAAUUGUGAACAGAAAUUGAUCGCUGGGACUAGUGAGAUGGCAUUGGUACAUGCCACCUUGAUGGGAUUGAAUUAGAAUCCCCUGGUAUGUUUCUAACUCUACCGUUUGAGGUAAGUCAGAGUAAGCACAUUCUUUGAACAAUCA